UGUAUUUUAAUUUGCCUUCAUUGUCUUUUGAUUUUUCCAUUUAUUAUACCAUGGUUGAAAUCUCAAUUUUUCCAUAAUUUUCUUCAAAGUUUUCAAUUUCAAAGGAAGAUGAUUCCUACUGUUAUUCUUAAUCUAUUUAUUUUUGUCAUAUUUCAUUCAUUCUUCACAAUAUGAAUUUUUAUCAUCUCAUUUGGGUCUUUCAAUACCAGGAUGGGUGGUCCGAGGAUGUUUCAUCUUUGAAAAAUUACGCGAAGAUGGUUUGUCCUACCAGUAAAUGUAGUCUUUUCCAUUUCUUUUUUGUCCCUUAGAACCGAUAACCCCUUUUUCCCUCAUUUAUUUUCUUUGCCUUGUGGUUAGGAUGUUUUGAUCUUUGGAGUAUUAAGUAAUAGAAACAUAGAAGACAUCAAGAAAGAGUAUCUAAUAGUUGUUUUCUUUUUCAAUAGAAUGUAAUGAGCUUUUAGUUCAAUGCAUUUCUCCAUUCCCUUUUACGCAAACUACUUUAACUGAUAAUUGGGGUUUACUUGAUUUUUGAAGGUAUGUCAAAAUCCCUUCCUAUUAUGUGGUAUUUGGGAUAUCAAAGGUUGGUUACUAAGCUAGGUAUUGGAUCUCCAAUAUUUUAGAGAUGAUAAAUAAAGCAGGCUUUGAAUUUUGAAUGUCCCUAAUACAAUUAUAUGUCACUAUUCAUUGUGGAAAAAAAAUCCCUGUGGCAAUGUUUACAUAGAACAACACUUGAAGAAUGUAUGUGCUACUCGACUUCUUUAUUGUAAUAUAUUGAUACCCUGAGUCAUUACGAAUAUAAA